rnacentral:rRNA from 1 species
CCUACGGGGGGCAGCAGUGGGGAAUCUUCCGCAAUGGACGAAAGUCUGACGGAGCAACGCCGCGUGAGUGAUGACGGCCUUCGGGUUGUAAAGCUCUGUUAAUCGGGACGAAAGGCCUUCUUGCGAAUAGUGAGAAGGAUUGACGGUACCGGAAUAGAAAGCCACGGCUAACUACGUGCCAGCAGCCGCGGUAAUACGUAGGUGGCAAGCGUUGUCCGGAAUUAUUGGGCGUAAAGCGCGCGCAGGCGGAUAGGUCAGUCUGUCUUAAAAGUUCGGGGCUUAACCCCGUGAUGGGAUGGAAACUGCCAAUCUAGAGUAUCGGAGAGGAAAGUGGAAUUCCUAGUGUAGCGGUGAAAUGCGUAGAUAUUAGGAAGAACACCAGUGGCGAAGGCGACUUUCUGGACGAAAACUGACGCUGAGGCGCGAAAGCCAGGGGAGCGAACGGGAUUAGAUACCCUGGUAGUC